CAGCUCCAACUGCUACCUAAGAUGAUAACACGGACGAUAAAGGAAUGAAGGGUAUGUCUGCUUCACUACGAUUGACAAAACUUGCACAUCUACUUUCAAGUUGGUGAAAGCACGACUUCAAGAUGUAAGCUAAAAAAGAAGAUGGUAAUUUCCGGCCACAAGUGUCAAAAUCUUAAAAUUAGGGUCGAAGAGAAAUAUACGUCUCCUUGCGGUAAACCAGAAUACAGCACGGCAUUUUGCUUCAUAUACGUGUUAUUCAAAAGACAUCAACAGUUUAAAGCCAAAGGAACCCAAUCUAACAAAUUGUGUCAGUCGUUGGACAUUCAAAAUCAUGAUCUGAUAUAUCGUUUGGAAAUUCUCCCCUUUGCUGAUGAAAUACCAUCUAUCAUUUAAUGGAUAUUUAACUAGAACAGAACGGAACAGAACAGAACAGAACAGAACGGACCAGAACAGAACUCUCAGUCAGCAUUUACAUCUCUGUAAACGGCAUCGAUAUUGCCAUUUAAUUUAUCAUAUAUUUAUCGAUUUAUAACUGGUAUUCUGCGGACUCCGUAAUUGAUACAUUGACAUUUUCUUGACAAAAUAUUGAUAAAUCAGUUGAUAGACCGAUAUCGAAGUUGGAUUUUGCUGUUAUCCGAAUUCAGAAAGCAGCAUAAUACAAUGAGUACAAUGAUUAUCAAGAUUUAUAAAAAAUGUUUCACCUAGAGUUAUUUUGACAUAGGAAUUUCUACA
rnacentral:lncRNA from 1 species